rnacentral:rRNA from 1 species
UACGGAGGGAGCUAGCGUUGUUCGGAAUUACUGGGCGUAAAGCGCGCGUAGGCGGCUUUGUAAGUUAGAGGUGAAAGCCCGGGGCUCAACCCCGGAACUGCCUUUAAGACUGCAUCGCUUGAAUCCGGGAGAGGUGAGUGGAAUUCCGAGUGUAGAGGUGAAAUUCGUAGAUAUUCGGAAGAACACCAGUGGCGAAGGCGGCUCACUGGCCCGAUACUGACGCUGAGGCACGGAAAGCUAGGGGAGCGAAAGGG